AGGAUUAAGCCAUGCGAGUUAACGUAGUAAUACGUGGCGCACGGCUCAGUAACACGUAGUCAACAUACCCAGAGGACGUGGAUAACCUCGGGAAACUGAGUCUAAACCGCGAUAGGUCAAGAUUCCUGGAAUGGUUCCUGAUCGAAAUCUAUAUGGCCUUUGGAUUGGACUGCGGCCGAUCAGGCUGUUGGUGAGGUAAUGGCCCACCAAACCUGUAACCGGUACGGGCUCUGAGAGGAGGAGCCCGGAGAUGGGCACUGAGACAAGGGCCCAGGCCCUAUGGGGCGCAGCAGGCGCGAAACCUCUGCAAUAGGCGAAAGCCUGACAGGGUUACUCUGAGUGACUUUCGUUAAGAGAGUCUUUUGGCACCUCUAAAAAGGGUGUAGAAUAAGGGGUGGGCAAGUCUGGUGUCAGCCGCCGCGGUAAUACCAGCACCCCGAGUGGUCGGGACGAUUAUUGGGCCUAAAGCAUCCGUAGCCGGUUCUGCAAGUCCUCCGUUAAAUCCAACUGCUUAACAGAUGGGCCGCGGAGGAUACUACAGAGCUAGGAGGCAGGAGAGGCAAGCGGUACUCAGUGGGUAGGGGUAAAAUCCGUUGAUCCAUUGAAGACCACCAGUGGCGA
rnacentral:rRNA from 1 species